rnacentral:rRNA from 1 species
UACGUAGGGGGCAAGCGUUGUCCGGAUUUAUUGGGCGUAAAGAGCGUGUAGGCGGCCAGGUAGGUCUGCUGUGAAAACUCGAGGCUCAACCUCGAGACGUCGGCGGAAACCAUCUGGCUAGAGUCCGGAAGAGGAGAGUGGAAUUCCUGGUGUAGCGGUGAAAUGCGCAGAUAUCAGGAGGAACACCGAUGGCGAAGGCAGCUUGCUGGGCCUUACCUGACGCUCAGAGACGAAAGCGUGGGGAGCGAACGGG